CCUACGGGAGGCAGCAGUGGGGAAUCUUGCGCAAUGGGCGAAAGCCUGACGCAGCCAUGCCGCGUGUAUGAUGAAGGUCUUAGGAUUGUAAAAUACUUUCACCGGUGAAGAUAAUGACUGUAGCCGGAGAAGAAGCCCCGGCUAACUUCGUGCCAGCAGCCGCGGUAAUACGAAGGGGGCUAGCGUUGCUCGGAAUUACUGGGCGUAAAGGGAGCGUAGGCGGACAUUUAAGUCAGAGGUGAAAUCCCGGAGCUUAACUUCGGAACUGCCUUUGAUACUGGGUGUCUUGAGUGUGAGAGAGGUAUGUGGAACUCCGAGUGUAGAGGUGAAAUUCGUAGAUAUUCGGAAGAACACCAGUGGCGAAGGCGACAUACUGGCUCAUUACUGACGCUGAGGCUCGAAAGCGUGGGGAGCAAACAGGAUUAGAUACCCUGGUAGUCCACGCCGUAAACGAUGAUUGCUAGUUGUCGGGAAGCUUGCUUCUCGGUGACGCAGCUAACGCAUUAAGCAAUCCGCCUGGGGAGUACGGUCGCAAGAUUAAAACUUAAAAGAAGUAGUAGGACGNGAGACGUAGUCGAACGAGACACAGGGAGGAGAG
rnacentral:rRNA from 1 species